UUUCAACAAAAUCAAGGAAAAUAAACUCAAUGCGAAAUGUAAAAUUUACACACAACUCCAAAUUGAGUUAAAUAUUACAUUUUCUUGUUUACAUAACUUGAGAACAAGAAAGGAAACGCUCACAUGAGUUUAAUAAUUCCUAUCCCCGUGUAUAUAAAAGAAUAUACAAAGACACACCCAAAACUCAACAAAAAACCCUGCCACUAAGCCUCCAUCUCAACCCUGCUGAUCCUCACCUGCAGGUCUAACCCCUACACCAAGAAAUGGUGCACCGGGUUGUAAACAACACACCCGGUAAGCUAAAAAGCUCGUAUGAGUAAACUAAAGAAAACAACACAACAUUUAUCACAUCCAAUAUUCACAAGAGAGAUUGGAUCAAUAAUUUCAAACCACACAUCAAACACAUUACCCAAGAGAGGUACCCAUGAGUCCCAAAUAUUAAUAAAAUACCUCUCAUGACCUACCACAACACUAUGUGUACCCAUGGGUCCCAGAUACCAUACAGUAUCUCCCAUGACCUACACUGACAGACGGACUAGAGCUCUAUUCCUAACCGCAACCAAUCACCCGGCCAAAGGCUUGGAACCCGGUUUGACUGUCUAAUAUCAAACACAAAAGUGAUAAAUAGCAUCUUAACCGCAACCAAUCACCCAAAAAGGGCUUGGAACCCGGUUUGACUAUUUAUCCAACAAUCAUAAUAAAUUUCACAACAAUAACCUCACAACACAUUAUCACAAUUAUUAUCGUCAACAACAUGAUAUAUCUCACAUUUAUUAUUCUCAACAUCACAAAAUAAAGAAGACUUGUUUUUAUCUUACCUAUGAGCCGUUGGCGAUCAAGCUCAUAUAUUUUUAAAAACAAUUAAAAGAAUAAUAAUAAAACCACCAUCAUCAUCAUUAUCAUUAUAUCAUCAGGUUCAAAAGUGAACCUUGAUGAGAUUUACUCACCUAAGUAUCCAGCUGCAAUUUCCACAACCAAAUUUAGCAAGCGAAACACAACUUCACAACCACCUAAAAACACACAAUUAAAACCUUAGUAACUAAAAUACUAUAGGUUAACACAAUACCCUUAACUAACCCUUAAUUCAAGAGAUGACAACUUUCCAAAGUCGUCGAGCUUAGAGACUCACAAAGGCUGCCUCUAAUUCUCCAUUCCUAACUCAAACCUCCACCAAACCUAAAAUCACACUUAACGUUCUAGCAUGCCAACAUUUCUUAAAAACUAGCCACACUACCACUCAACAAGCUCACAGCAGUAAGGACUACCUAACCACAGGAAACUAGGGCUGCAACUCAACCGGACGCGCCGCCACGCGCCGCCACAGGCGGCGGCGAGUGGGCCUCACGCGCCACCCCAAACUUCCGAAUUUGAGAAAACUCCCAACAGCAAAGUUGAAGCUUGAAGCAAGGGGAACAACUUUCAUACCUGAGACUUUGACCAAAAAUGGCCGGAACCGGCCGGAAACCGCCCCGAACGGUGCCCAGAAAAACAAAGGCAAAAUCUGCAAAACCGGCCUCAAAACCUUAAAAACUUGCUUCAACUAUGCCUAAACACUGCUAGGAGGAAGAGGGGAUCAAUACUCACCUAAACUUGGCCGGAAACGGCGUCGAAAUCGCCGGUUUUCCGGCGGAACAGCAGCAGCUCCGCCGCUUCGUGGCGGCUUCCAGGCGGCGGGACAGCCGGCGGAACUGCUCCAGAAAUGGAGAGGGCUGCUGUGGGAGUCGACUGGAACCGGUGGCGUCCGGUUUGGUGGCCGGAGGAGGAAGAAAUCGGCUGAAGAAAGUGAAGGCUCGGGGAGCUCGGGAGAGGAGAAGAGGAAGGGAAAAAAAAGAGAGAAAAAAAAGUGAGGAGAGAGAGAGAGAGAGAGAGCUGCUUUNNNNNNNNNNNNNNNNNNNNUAUGAACAGACUUGCAUGCCUUAGUUAACAUUGAUAUCAGUAACAUUUAGUCAGAAUCAACAUAUUAAGAACCAAUUAACCAAACAGUUAGUAUUCCAAUGUUUGUUUUGAUAAACAAGCAUACGACAGGGAACAAUUCACCACAAUCAAACUGAUCAAUCUCUUGUUUUUUUUGCUUCAGAUGAUUGAAUAUGGAUCGAAUAGAGAAAAAUUGAUUAUCAAAGAGAGAAAGGAAGAAAUAGACGAUUGCUUCAGACGUACCUGCUGUCUGCUGACGAAUCUGGGAAGAAGAUGGCGACGAGCUUGGCCUUGGAGGUGUCGACGGCCUCGUGGUCGGGGCAGGGCCGAGGGCGUUGAGGACGGAGGGGAUCUGGGAGACGUCGGAGACGGCGCGGGUCAGAGAGGAGGUGAAGAAUGGAAUCGUCUAAGAAAUCGGAGAGGAGAAAAGUUGUGGAGCAGAGAUUGAGAGGGGUGGAAGCAGAGAGAAGGUGAAGAAGAAGAGAGAAGAGUUGUGGAGGUGGGUAUAAAUUUUUUUUUUUCAUUGGGCUGGGCUGUGAUAUAUAUAUACAUAGGGGUUUUUUUGGCCCAAUUUUCGGUUGGGCUGUAGCCCAUACAGCCUUUGCUUUGCUUCCGUCCCUGCAUAUAUGGCUUGAUGCCCUUUAACUCUAAAAUGAACUGGCCUCAGUGUCGAAAGUAUUUAAAUGUGGUGUCUUGUCACUAACUAUCAUUUUUCUUUUAAAUAUAUAUAUUGGCAUGAAACCCUACCUUACUGCUGACACCAUUGGAAUACAUUUUUGUUUUUUUGGUUACAUGACACCCAUUGGAAUAUUGUUGUACUGUCUACGGUCUACCACUUUUUUUUCGACCUCUUUUUUACCUUUUGGGAAUUGUGUUCAAGUGUAUUAUCUCUGGAAAUCAGCAUACACUCGUAUGAAAACAUCCGGCGUUCUUCUGAAGGGAUUUCAAUUUCUUCAUUGAUCGCUUUUUUUUCCACAUUUUCGGAUCCAUCAAUGCAUCAUGCAUGUUACUAGGAAUUAAUAUACGUACCGUAAAUAAUUGAUUAACAACAUGUGCAUGUGACUUGAAAAACUAAUGGUUAGACACAAAAACCAAAACCAAAGCCAAAUGCCUUGUAGCUAACUUUAUGUCUAACCAUAGGUUUUCCGAGACACAUGCUCUUGUUAUUGAUCAAUUAUCUACUGUAUCUAUUUCUAGUAACUUGCAAGAUGGUUUGGCUGAUCCAAAAUAAAGAAAAAGCAAUGAAUGAAGAAUUGAGAUUCCAUUGGAAGAAUGCAAUGUGGGAGAUAGUAUUCCAUGUCUGUCGGAAAGAAAACUAUUAGGCAUUGUUGGGCGCUUACAAUGAACCUUAAGCCAAAUGAAACUAUUGACAGAUACAAUGCAAAAUUGGUCUCAAGGAAUGUGCAUUACGCUAUGGAAUCCAGCUCGGAGACAUAACCGGAAACUAGAAUAUAAAACUACGGAAUCCAUCAAUUCCUACCUUUUAUGUUCUCAGAAAAGAAAAUGCCGCGAAUAGUCUCCUCGGGGACUUGGGCAGGUCGCGGUUCAAGGGCUAAAUAACGCCAGUAGGAGCCUGAAACGACGUUUUAGAGAAUUCCAGAAGGGUAGAGCACGGACCCUUCUUCAAACGGACCUUCAUUCUAUGAUUAGAUUCGCAACCAGGGAACCUAGAGAGGCAGGUAAGGGUGGACCGAACUAGCGCUCGUUUAUGAUGAUUUCACAAUUCUAGCCGAUUGUUCUCGAGUCCUCGCGAUGGAGCAGCAUCCUCGAGCUCGAGAACCCCUGUCUAAUAUGUUCCAAACCCAUAAUAUAAAAAAGUCUAGUCGGAAGGCUAAAGCAGACUGGGGCCAAUUACUCGAGAGUGGGGCUAAGAAAAAAAAUUGGUUGUAACUAAAGUCCUUUAACUGAACUGGUCAUUUAGGCAAAUUGUUCAUAAAAAAAUGUCCUCACACCUCCAAAUGAGCUUCCUUCAACGCCAAGCAAGUCGAACAGAAACCCAGGUUAAUUAUGUACUUUUUUGAACUUGUGGCGAAGUGAAAAUAGUUUCAACAGUAUAAUUCUAUUUUGUAGUGCCUUUUAACCAAAUACAAUUAAAUUACUGUUGAAACUAUUUUUAGUUUAUAAACAAUAUUGUAAAUACAUUUCUUAAUAAAAUUUGACGAUGUUGUUGAGAUCCUAGAUAAAGUGAAUUCAUGUUAAGAGUUGAGACCAUUUGAAUGUGGUGUCAAGUCAUGUUGGUACUGGUUUUGGCCGGUUGAGAAUUCACAGGUGGUAGAUGGAUGUAGGUCCAAGAAAGCCAACCUGCGGCAGGCAAGCAUCGGGUUAGAAACUAACUUGGUACAAUUUAUGUGCUAACUGGUUUCAUGUCAACUUUUCAAUAAUGCAAUCAACCUUCUACUUCUGGUAAGUUCACGACUUGAUAUACAGUCUCCCGCCAACUGGUUAAUUUUACCAAACCAGGUUUACAGGGGCGUACUCGAAUGAUAAUCGAAUCUCACCGACGCCCACUGGAAAUUUGGAGCCUGCAAUGAUGUAAGGUCACAGAUGAAAUAGUUAAUUGCAUAUUCGUACAUAGUGACAUGUAGAGAGUGACGAGAUAUAGGUAAGAGUAUCUUGAAGUCAAAUAUAAAAGGCGCAGUUAAUUUCAUUAGAGACUUGAAGUCAAAUGAUUGUGUUCAUAUUUCAAGCAUUCUUCAUCGGUUGUCAUCCUUGCUACCGAUAAAAGGUAUCAAAAAAUUAAAAGGAAAUCCUUUGGUUAUGUGAUCUAUGAUUUUUUUAUUUAUUUAUUUUUUUAAAAGAUGUCAUCCAUUAAUGAAACUCAACGAACAAUACAAUAAUGAUCUGCCGAGAGGGCCGUCAGAAAAAACCAUCAUGCAGAACAACUAUCUUAGUACGCUCUUCACACAAACAUACCAAAACACUCACUCCAAGUACAUUCACCUUCUACGAAGAUAAAACCAAAAACAAAAAGAUUAAAAACUCCGAAGCGUAAUAAACUGUAACAUCAGAAUUCUUAUCUUCAUAUUGGUCUCCCGAUCAAAAUCAAGCGGGUACUAUAGCAGAAGUGGAGCUCACCCCUUCUGCUACCUCCCUAGCCAUCUCCACUGCAAACGCUUCUGUUGAACAAAGCCCGCAACCAACCUCAAAAGCCAACGCCUAACAGAGAGAAACACUAGCUGAUCCAACCCAGGUCCAAACCAGCCAAAACCCUAGAGGAGCCAAGAAGGAGACCAAAGUAGCCGCUUUCUCCUCAUCUCCGCCGCUGCCACCGCGACCAAGCCGUGUCGCCGGCGUACCCUCCCCUUGAAACGAAGACCAUAAGCCAGCAUCCAUACUAGCCACCUCCACAGCCGCCACUACACCACCACCCCUCCCUCUGACAUCACAAAGAAGGAGAAGAUCUAAUCCAUGGUUGUCGACAUCAGCUUUUCCACCACUGUGCGCAAUGACCCCCGCCCUCCAUCCAAAGCCAUGGCAACCCAACAACAGAUCUGGGUUUGUUAACCACUUAACCCACCAGUAACACUCACAGUAAGAGGAUUAAGGCCAGAGCCUUGGUUUAAGAGAUGUCGUCGAGCUAACCCGCCGACACCACCACAAGUUGAACAAGAGAGAGGAGGAAAAGCUUCCCAUGCAAUCGAAGGUACAAAGUCACCGUCAACCGAGACUGAGCGGCACCGAGAAAACUCUCUUGCGAGAGGCAGAGAGGAGAACAUGUUAUUGAAGUUAUUGUUGUUAUCUUAGUUUGUUUGAUGGGAUGCAUUAAUCGAUAUCUACAAAAAAGCGGGUUAGCAAGCGAUCAAACAAUGACCGAUAUAUAUUGAUGGCGUUCCCAUCCUCAAGUCUCGUUCCAUGCAUGGUAGAAAAAGAGGAAAUUGAUUCGCACUUCUCAUUUUACAAUUUAUACUCAUUAUUUCUUUUGUUUAUUAACUUCAAUCUUUUGGUAAUGUGAUAACAUGUGUUUUGUUCUUUUUAACAGAAAACUGGAACAGAGAGCGUAGAUUGUGAAAUGGAAAAUGCACUUUCCAUAUCAAACGAAAGAUUCUAAUCUAAUGUUGCUAUGUUGCUGAUGAUUGUUUAAUUUUUACUCGAGCAUCGUAUACUGCUCCAAAGAAUGUAAUCAACUUAUUGUCUACUUUUUCAGAAGCUUCAGGUCAGCAAAUUAACUACCAUAAAUCAACAAUUUAUUUUUCUACUCAUCUUUCUGCUGCUUCUGUUAAACGUGAUCUUGCUGCUUACUUGGGAAUUCAACAUAAAACUAGUAUAGGUAAGUAUUUAGGAGUCCUAAACAUUAUUUACUGGAAAGACCCUAUCAAUUUUCAUGACAUAAUUCUUAAAAUGAAGAGGAAGUUAGCUGGUUGGAAAGCUAAUACCUUGUCUAGAGGAGGUAAGUUAACUCUUGUGAAUCCAACCUCACAGGUAUGUCUAAUCAUAUACUUUCUUGUUUUAAAUGUCCUCGUCAUUUUCUUCAUAAGAUAGAUAAAGAAAGUCGACAGUUCUUUUGAGGCUCUAGUCAUUCUAAUGUAGCUUGGAAUCAAACUACGUACUUUACCUAAAGGCUAAAGAUAAAGGGAGUUUGGGUAUACGAUCUGCAGAGGUUUUUAACUGUGCUGCACUAACGAAACUAGGGUGGAAGAUUCUAACCGAACCAAGUAAUUGGGGGGUACAAGUAGUAACUAGAAAAUAUUUACGAAAUACUAAUUUCCUUAAUGUUCCUCGCAAAAAGAAUGCUUCUCUAGCCUGGAAAGGAAUCGACACUAGAGAUGUCCUACUUGAAGGCCUUCGCUGGAUAAUAGGUGAUGGGGAUUCAAUUCUUUUUUAGCCUUUUAAUUGGGUACUCCCAUAUUCUUUGUUCCAUCUAAUCCCAUCCGAUCAAAGACAUGUCUUAGAUUCGAAUCUCAAGGUUUCUGAUUUUAUUGUCAAUGGACAAUGGGAUUCUAACAAGUUACAUACUCUUUUGCUUGUUAAUAUUGUUAGCCAAAUUUGUGCAAUUCCUUUGCCUAUUUACCAUACCCUUGAUGAAUUCGUCUGGGGACCUAGUGGUUCUGGUAAGUUCAGUAUUAAAUGUGCAUCUUCAAUGCUAGAUAGUAAGGCUAUUCCGCAUACUGCAGCUAGAACUCCUAGUCGGAUGUGGAAACUAAAACUACCUCCUAUAAUUCAAGUUUUUGCCUGGUUAUUAUUGCGUAAGAGACUGGUUAUCACGUUUUUACUCUAGUAUCUCUCCCAUUUGUCCUUUUUGUCAUUUACAUAAUGAAUCAGCAUCUCAUAUUUUCCAGCAUUGCGAUUUUGCAAAACAGGUUUGGUCUUUGGCCCAGACACCCACACCUACUUUGUGGGAAGGUUCUAUUUAUUCUUGGUUGGAUCAUAUCUGUUAUUCUACAUCCCCUGAGAUUACUGCUUUAAUCUUUCUUAUAUUAUGGUUACCCUGAAAGCCUGUACAGGUUAUCAACCACGCUCCAUCCACAGGGUUACGACUUGCGAAUAACCAGAAGACUUCAAGCAAUUUCUUCAGAUGCUAAAAAGAGUGGGAGACAAAGAGUAAGUAAACAGACCUCUAACCAGUUGAGAAAAUUGUCAUGGCAUUGGUAGAUAGAUAAAGAUUACUAACCUGAAUCGCACUAGUAGAAAAAAGGCUUAAGCAAUGGGCACUUUCACAUUUCGUCGCUUAAGCAAAUCCUAAGCGACGAAAAAAAUAUCGUCGCUCUAAAUACAUAUUUCAUCGCUACAAUUUUCUGGGGUGACGAAAUGUUUUUGUCGCUUAAAUUUCGUCGCCACAGGUCCCACUAAGGCGACAACAAGGAUUUUGUAGCAAAAGAUUUGUGUAGCGACGAAAAUGUUAACACUUAAGCGACGAAAAUGUUUGUGGUAUUAUAUCCUUCACCUAACCGACAAAUUGACUUUUCGUCGUCUUAGGUUUAGACUAAAGCGACAGAACUUUUGACUUUAGAGCGACGAAAAUGUUUGUCGCAUGAUAUCUUUCACCUAACCGACAAAUUGACUUUUCGUCGUCUUAGGUUAAGACUAAAGCGACAUAACUUUUGACUUUAGAGCGACAAAAAUGUUUGUCGCAUGAUAUCUUUCACCUAACUGACGAAUUAAUUUUUCGUCGUCUCAGGUUAAGACUAAAGCGACAGAACUUUGACUUUAGAGUGACGAAAAUGUUUGUCGCAUGAUAUCCUUCACCUAAGAAUAAUUAUAUUCUUGCAUUCUAGCUAUUUACAUGUUUAGCCCUAGAAAUCCCGUUUAAGAAUCAUUUUGUUACGACUUUGUUUGACAAAAUGAUUCUUGAAUUGUCCCAUUUUUGGACAGUUUGGGAGAACAUGACUUUGAUUUGCACUGAUUUAUGUUAUUGUAGUUGAGUUUUCGAUAGUGAGUAAUUUCGACAGGGUCUCCUGCUACUGCACAUUAGGUAUAAAAAUUGAUGCAUUUGGGGAACUGUAGGGAGAUGCUGCCGAAAUUUUUCCACGUCGGAUUUGAAACCACAAUAACAUAAAUCAGUGCGAAAUAAAGUCAUGUUCUCCUGAAUAGGAUUAGGACCCUAACCGGAGGCAUAAGGUGAAGAAGAAGAAUUGAAUGGAUAUAUGUGCUUAUUUGUUGCUAACGAUGUGCAUUUUUAUUUCUAUUAUGACAGGCAUGUAGAAAAAAUGGAAAAGAGCUGGAUGCAGUACAAGAGGGGACACCUUUUAUAUAUACAGGGGAUCGUAGAUUUUCUGAAAUUUGUACAACAAUACGAUGGUGGAAAGGAAUGGCACAAGUGUCCGUAUAAAAGAUGUUGUUGCGGUAGUUGGGAGACAAUUCAGGGCAUAGAAAAACAUUUGUCACAUUACAACAUUGAUCUAUAUUAUACUACAUGGACUGAACACGGUGAAGUGCUAGUUAAUGAUCCUAUAAUGCCCCAUUUUCUACCAAAUAACUUGCAUGAGGCUGGCUCAUCUAGUGCUUCCGCCAGCCCUUAUAUGGAUCCCACGUUGAACAUGCUACAUGAUGCUUUUCCAUACGCUUCAAGAUAUCAUCAGGAAGAAACUCAUCAUGAUGCACCCCAGGAAACAGAUUCUACUUUCUCGAACCUAAACACUGGUGAUUACGAUAAGUAUAACAAGAUGCUCGAAGAAGCGCAGACCCCAGUGUACGAGGGAUGUUCAGAAACUGUUUUGAGUUCUCUCAUGGAACAUAUGAGUUUGAAAAAGAAGCAUAGGACCUCGAACAAACAUUUUGAUGACUAUUCAUCGUUUGUUAGACGUUUGCUUCCUCCUGCAAACAAACUACUAUCGAGUCAUUACAAGGCAAAAAAGAUCAUGAACGACCUCGGUCUUGGUUAUGUGAAAAUUGAAGCUUGUAAGAAUAAUUGUGUUAUGUUUUACGGAGAUUACAAAGACAUUUAAAUGUCCCAAGUGUAAUGCGUUGUGGUGGGAAGAUACUCUUUCCCCUAAAGGGAAUGAAUGUGCUUCGUUAUUUCCCGUUGACUCCUAGGCUGCAACGUCUCUACAUGUGUGGAAAAACUGCUGAGGAUAUGAGAUGGCACGGUAUUCCGAGGGAAGAUGACAAUGCGCUGAUACACCCCGUAGAUGGGGAAGCAUGGAAAUCCUUUGAUUUAUCAGUUACUGAUUUCGCUGCAGACGUUCGAAAUGUAAGACUCAGACUCUCAACAGACGGGUUUAAUCAUUUCGGAAACAUGAACUUGUCUUACAGUAUCUGGCCUGUUAUUAUUGUUUGUUACAACCUGUCUCCCUGAAUGUUAAUGAAGAAGGAAUAUAACAUGUUGGCUUUGUUAAUUCCAGUACCAAAGUCUCCAGGAAAGUUUCUCGAUGUGUAUUUGAGACCACUGAUUGAUGAGUUGAAUGGGUUAUGGGAAAAUGGAGCAUUGACUUUUGACAAGCAUACCGAUACUUCAUUCAUGAUGAGAGCAUCACUGAUGUGGAUUAUUAACGAUUUUCCUGGUCACGGGAUGUUGUCCUCUCAUCCCACUAAAGGGUACAAAGCUUGUCCACUAUGCUUAACCGACAUCAAUUCUAGUUGGCACACUAAUAGGGUGUGUUAUAUGGGAGCUCGUAGAUGACUUCCAGAUGAUCAUGAGUGGAGACUUGAUGUAGUUAACUUCGAUGGGAAACAAGAGUUUGGUCUGAAACCCCGAGAAUGGAGUGGCGAUGAAAUUUUAGAUUUGUUGAACUCCUUUAACUUUGAAAAUCUGAGCAGUGAUCGUGAAGUAUUGGCUCGGGAUCCUAAACGUCAUUCGUAUCUUGAUAAUUGGACACAUAAGAGUAUAUUCUUUGAGCUGCCUUACUGGUCAAAGUUAAGAAUAAGACACAACCUAGAUGUUGUGACGACAUCGUUGGAACAAUUCUGGAUAUAAAAGAAAAGACCAAGGACACUAUCAAAGCACGGUGCGAUUUGCAAAAUAUGGGUUUACGCCCACACUUGUGGGUAAAACAAACCGGCUCUAUAGUUGUUAUGCCUAUUGCACCGUACCAGGUGAAGCCGGCUUUGAGGCCUAAAGUUUUCAGCUGGAUUCAAGAUGUUAAGUAUCCUCAAAGGUAUGCAGCAAAUAUAACUCGAUGUGUUAAAGUGGGGGAAGAGAAGAUAAUUGGAAUGAAGACGCAUGACUGUCACGUUUUGUUGUAGCGGCUCUGGCAGAAGUUAUGCAUCGUGAUUAGACCAUAUAUGCAUCGUGAUGUUGUGGAGCUAUUAGUAGCCUUGUCCCGGUUCAGGCAAAAGUUAUGUGCUCGGGAGUUGAAAAAGUCAGAUGUCCUUAAAUUAAACAUCGUCUGCAUCCUUUAAUUUGCAAACUGGAGAGGAUUCCCCCCCCCCCCCCCUUUUUUUUUUCUAUUAUGGUUCACCUCAUGAUCCACCUGCCUGAAUAAGUGUUGUUUACCGGUCAAGUACACAAUACCUGGAUGUUUCAUAUGGAAAAGUAAAUUUACUAUUUCCUAGCACUUUAUGACUUUGAUUUAUAUAUUAUUAACGAGCUCAAUAAAUUAACUCUGACCUUUUAUUUUCUUUAAGACAACUCGGCGGAUAUAAGGGGUAUGUUAAAAAUAUCGUCCGGAGGGGUCAAUAGAAGAGGCAUACAAGAUACAUGAGUGUGUAACCUAUAGUGAAAAUUAUCUCCAUAAAAAACAGAGCAUGUCGGCAGUGAGAUUACACCUAGGUUCAACUUUUCAGUUGUUUCUGAUGAUAUCUGUUUGUUUGGGAAAUUAUCAAUUUCUGAAAGAUUCACCGAUGAUGAGAUUGUUGAGGCUCAUUGGUGGGUACUGUGACACUGUGACCAAGUCGACAUGUUUAGACAUCCACAUGAACAACUUUGCAAAAUUAAAUAUGGUGACAGAUGGGAAGAGAUGCAGAAGAAGACAUUUCCUAAAUAUUACACAAAAUGGGUGCGUUUCUGUUUCAUUUUUUUACACGAGAAAUUAACAUGUUUUGAUGUUUUUUCAGGUUUGUGAUUCCAAAAAUUAACAUGUUUUGAUGUUUUUUCAGGUUGCAAAGUUGCAAGAAGAAAAUAGUGUACAUUACAAACCCGUGUUGUCUUAUUUGGCUGGUAAGCCGCAACAUGUGAAUAUAUAUGCUGCUUGUGUAGUCAACGAUAUUAAGUUUUUGACAUUGCAUCGAGAUUAUGGUUGAAAGACACAAAAUAGUGGCGUGAUGUGUGUGGGUACGGAAGACAGAUCUGAAUAUUACAAGGUCGUUGUAUCUGUUGUCGAGCUAGUCUACGCAACUGGUAUGCCAGUUGUAUAAUUGAAGUGUAGAUGGUUCAACGACCUAAAUAUACUGAGGAGUACCAAGAUGAAUCAUGGUCUGUUAUCAGUGAAUACAUGCACAAGCUGGUAUGAGAAUCAACCGUUUAUUGUUGCCACAAUGGCAAGACUAGUUUUUUAUCUUGAUGAUCCAAAAGAGGGUGGGGGUUGGAAAGUUGUUAACGUGAUGUUACAUAGAGGUAUUUACAUUGCAACUACACUUGAGAUGUAUAUUGCAAAUAGAGAUAUUGAGAAUGUGACUUUUGAACUAUAUUAACAAGCCUCGACAUCUAAUAUCCCCGACACGGAGACUAUUCACAUCAACAACGACAUCCACUUCCAACCCCGUGAGCGCGUUCCCAUUUCUAAUUUAGAGUUUGACUUUGAUUCACUUCCAUUCAUCCCACCAACUGAGAACUUCAUUGACGACGAAGAGGAAGACUCAAACGAUCAUUCAUAUGAAGUGAGGGUGAUUUAGAAGACGGGGACUAUGAUGAUAGCGAUUCAAAACUCAUGAUGUGUUAAAACAUCAAAUUUUCGAUUUAAUUAUGUUAUGAAUUUAAUUAUUAUAUAUGUAAUGAAUUUAUUCUAUUAGUUGUGAUAUGUACUAAUUUCCGUUUGAUUUAGUUUUAUACUUUACUAACAUUUUAUGAGCUAGUAUUAAUUAGUAAAAAGUGAAAUAUAAAUGAUUUUCCAACUUAAGCGAUGAAUUUUGUCAUUUCCGUCACUUUAAAACGUAUAUUAUUUGGUGAAAAAUCAAAAACUUAAGCCACUUAGGCAACAAAAAAGAAACAGAUCGUCCCUUUGACCCAAAUAUUUGGCGAGCUGCUUUUCAUUCCCAAAUUUUGGCCUAAAUUUGAACGAACUUAAGUGACAUAAGCCAUAAAGGUAUUCGUGGCUCAUUUGUUACUGUCACGCCCCAAUUUUCGAAAGAUAAAUUUUCAAAAAUUUGGGCAUGAUAUAACACCAAAUCUUAAAAUUCCAAAACCUGCUCAAACAACUUCCGAACUAAAAACAAAUACUGGAAUUGUAAACGUCAACAAACUCAUCAACCGAGUUAAACAUUACAUCUCCUUAAUUACAACAACUUCAAAAGUCUAGUAAUAAAGGGUCGCUCACAUGAGCUUAAAAACAACCGCCAUGAUAUACAAAAAAAGUACAUCGCCUAAAACCCAGCUCCUAAGCCACUGCCUUAACCCUGCUGAUCAACACCUGCAGGUCUAACCCCUACACCAUAAAUUGAUGCACCGGGUUGUAAACAACAAACCCGGUAAGCUUAAAAAGCUCGUAUGAGUAACUCUCAAAAUAAAACUCAACAAUUUCAACAUCACAUAAGAUAACACUGGAAAUUCCUGCAUUAAUAACUUAGUUCAGGAAUCACCUAAAAGCAAGAGAAUUUAAAAGAACUAAUUAAGAGAACACAACAAUUCAAAAUCACUCAAAAUCAUAAAUGAAUCCUGCAAAAAAACGUAGUUCAGGAUUCCACUAAAAAUCACACAAAUAAAAUUAAAGAAUCUCCUACAUUAAGCAUAGUUCAGAAGAUAUUUAAAACAAGGAAUUUAAAUGACAACAUAUGAGAACAUCACACAAUCAUUUCUCAACCCUUACUUAAGAGUUCGUCAACACAUAGUCAUCCCUCAUAAGUAACUAGACAAAGACGUACUCAUGAGUUCGUCAACACAUAGUCAUCCCCCAUGAAGUACCGACAGACUAUAACUCUAUACUGACCGUAACCAAUCACUCGGCCAAGGCUUGGUUCCCGGUCCACCACGAAAGCUCCUAAUCUAAUGCACACAAUCACCACUAAAGCACACAUCCACAACUAAUACACACAAUCACCACUAAGGCACCAUUCCACAAUGAAUGCACACAAUCACCGCUAAGACACCAUUUACAACUAAUGCACACAAUACCAAGGCACCAAUAAUCACAAUGAAUACACACAAUCACCACUAAGGCACACAUGCACAACUAAUACACAAAUAACCACAUCAAUAGAACCAGACAAGCGACACCUCACUAGAAUAUACUUUUUCACGAAGGGAUAUAUAUAUACACAAAUAUAGAUUUUCUCACAAGAAUAAUCUACCAAGAACUAAAAAUAUUGUAGUCACUAGAACCUUAAAAAUGAUCAUUUAAAAAUGAAAAUUUGUUUUCUCUUACCUAUGAGCCGUUGGCAAUUAAGCUCAUAUAUUUUAAAACAAACAAAAAGGAAAACAUAAUUUUAAAUUAUUAUCAUCAUCACAAUCAUCAUAAUCAUCAAUAUUUUCAUCAACAUAAUCAAUAUCAUCCUCAUCAUAAUAAUCAUUAUCAUCCUCAUCAUAAUUGUAAUACCCUAGAUUUUCAUAUAUUAUUCCCUUAUUUAAUGAAGGAUUAUUUAUGAAAAUUCUUUGGUUUAUGCGAAGUUGAAGUUUCAGGAGUUUAUUUUAAGGUGCUUUGAUUUUAAGAGGCCAAAAGUUGACUUUAUUUUCUGUAAGUUAUCUUCAAAAACUUCCUUCAUGAAAGUUGUAGAGUUUGUCGAUACGAGUUUGUAGACAUGAGGCAUGCUUGAAACGGAUGUCGUAUGGGAAAGUUAUGGUCAAAGGAAGUUAGUUUUCGGGUUUGGAAAGUGUAUAAGUAGAAAAAUGUGUGUGGGUUAAUUUUUGGAACCCUAAAAUCAGCUCACUCUCCACACUCUCCUCUCUCUCUUCUCUCUCUUCUCUCUCUUCCUCUCCCGAGUUCCCCCGAACUCCCUCUCUUUUUCGGCCGAGUUCUCGCUCCUCCGGCCACCAAACCAGACGCCACCGGUCCCGUUCGACUCCCACAAGUGCUCUCUUUAAGGCUGGGCAGCUGCUACUCAGUGUGGCGCGUCGGAAUCAGAGCUCUGUUGCUGGAAAGAGGGCUGAUGUGCCACCGGUCGGAGCUGCCGUAUACGGCGGCGACAAGGGGAAACCAUAUGUGAGUUUUGAUCAUCUCCUCCUCCUGGUAGUGUCUAGGCAUAGAUUAAUCAAGUUUUGAGGUUUUUGAGCCCAGAUUUGCAGGUUUGAAGUUUGAUUUCGGGUUAGGGUUUCGUGGCGUUUUCCGGCCGGUUCCGGCCAAAAUUGGUUGAAGCCUCUGGUAUGAAAGUUGUUCCCCUUGCUUCAAGCUUCAACUUUGCUGUUGAGAGUUUUCUCAAAUUAGGAAGUUUGUGGUGGCGCGUGGCAGCGCGUCCGGCUGUGGUUUUGGCUUAGGUUGCUGUGUUUUAGCUAGCACUUGUUGUGGUGAGCUUGUGGAGAUGUAGAAUUUCUAGGUUGUGAGCAAGAUUUGUAUGUUAGGACUUUAAGGUUGUUAUUAGGCUUGGUGGGGGUUUGAGUUAGGAUUUGAGGAUUAGAGGCAGCCAUUUUAGGUCUCUAAGUUCGAUGACUUUGGAAAGUUGUCCUCCCUUGAACUAAGGGUUAGUUUAAGGGUAUUGUGAUAACCUAUAGUAUUUUAGUUACUAAGGUUUUAAUUGUGUUAUUUUUAGGUGAUUUGUGAAGUUGUGUUUGGUUUGCUAUUGUCGACUUGUGGAAUUUGCAGCGGGAUUUUUAGGUGAGUAAAUCUCACUAAGGUUCACUUUUGAACCAAAUGUUAUUAUGGUCAUGUGAUGAUGAUAAUGAUGAUGAUGUUGGAUUUAAUAAUAUGCUUUUAAUUGUUUUUAAAAAUAUAUGAGCUUGAUCGCCAACGGCUCAUAAGUAAGAUAAAAAUAGAUUUUCCUUAUAUGCUAUUUCUGAGAUUCAUGUGAUCAUAAUUUUAUUUAUUAUUGAUAGAUUAUUCUUGUGGAAUAUCUAUAUUUUGUUCAAGUAAAUAUAUCUAUGUGCAAAGAUAUAAUUUAUGAUGUAAUAUUGUGUUGUUGAGGAUAAUGUUGGGAUAUUGUGAUUGUUGGAUAAAUAGCCAAACCGGGUUCCAAGCCUUUUUUUGGGUGAUUGGUUGCGGUUAAGAUGCUAUUUAUCAUUUUUGUGUUUGAUAUUAGACAGUCAAACCGGGUUCCAAGCCUUUGGCCGGGUGAUUGGUUACGGUUAGGAAUAGAGCUCUAAUCUGUCUGUCAGUGUAGGUCAUGAGAGAUACUGUAUGGUAUCUGGGACCCAUGGGCACACAUUUUGUUGUUGUAGGUCAUGAGGGGUAUUUAUUAAUAUCUGGGACUCAUGGGUACAUGUUAAUUGAAAAAGUGUUGGAUUUGUGGUUUUAUUUAUUGAUAUAAAUUGCUCUUGUGAUAUAAUUGGUGUUAUUUUGAGAAUUACUCAUACGAGCUUUUUAGCUUACCGGGUUUGUUGUUUACAACCCGGUGCACCAAUUCUUGGUGUAGGGGUUAGACCUGCAGGUGAGGAUCAGCAGGGGUUGAGGCGGAGGCUUAGUAGCAGGGUUUUUGUUUAGUUUUGUUGUACAUUGUAUAUUUUUAUAUUUGGGCUAGACUUUAUUAAAACUCAUGUGUGUAGUUUCAUUUUCUUGAUUUUCAAAUUUAUGUAAACAAGGAAAUGUAUUAUUUAACUCGAUGUUGAGUUGUGUGACUUUUACAUUUCCAUAUUAAGUUUUAGUUUCUUUGAAGUUGGUUUGGAAACAGGUUUUGGGACAAUAAUAUCAUGCCAAAAUUUUUGAAAAUUAUCUUUUGAAAAUUGGGGUGUGACAAUAAUAAUCAUUAUCAUCAUCAUCAUCAAAAUAAUCAUUAUCAUCAAAAUAAUCAUUAUCAUCCUCAUCAUAAUAAUCAUUAUCAUCAUCAUCAUAAUAAUCAUAUCAUCCUCAUCAUAAUAAUCAUUAUCAUAAAACUAAAUAAUUUGGGUCCCAAAGUGAAAGUUGGUGAGAUUUUACCCACUUUAACUCCUGCUGCGUCUUCACACAAACACAAAAGAAAGCUCAAACCAAGCUCCCGAUAACCACCUAUUAAUAAAUUGUUCACUUUAGUAACCAACAUGACCAAAACACUUCCCCCUUGAACCAAGACUCUACCCUUGACCCAAGGUCUUGUCCUUCAAGACAACUCUUCUUCCGAGACCUCCCAAGAUAAUAGGAACCCUCAACCAACCUAUUGAAAAAGGUUAACAAGAUUUUCCACCAAAGCUUAACAACCUCUCCCGAUUCUCAACUUAGUCUUAAACCUAGGAUGCAAAACUUGAUCAUAACAUAACCUCAUGACAUGUUAACGUGCUCGUAUCGAUGAGCACAAGCUAACAGUUACUCCUAACCUCCCAACCCCUACCGGACGUGCCGCCACGCACCACCAAAGACGGCGGCGAGUGGGCCCCACGCGCCAUCCAAAAACUUUUGAAUUUGGGCAAACUCAAAACACGAAACUUGUAGAUGGAAGAGAGAGAAGCGUCUUUUAUACCUGAGGUUUUGCCCCACUCGGCCGGAAAACGCCGGAAAACACCAGACUUGUCGAAAAAGUUGGAAUCCACCACCAUCACUCUACACCAAGAGUCGAGCUUCAAGACCACCUGAAAUCGAACUAGGACGCCAAGGAGCUUCAAUCUCGACCAUUUCCAAGCCGCGUCGCCGCCGCCGGAGGUGGGAAUCCCAACCGAUCUCCAAGCAUAACUUUCGAGCUUCGGUUACCACUUCGGGACCAAAUCGGCGUGACCCAGCUAGAGGAGAACGAAGGCAAGGAGAAGAGGAGUCGAUUCGGGCCGGUGGCACGGUCAGGCGACAUCGGACGGCGCCGGAAAGUCCGGGUCGGGUCAACCGGGUUCGGGUCGGGUCAGACAGAAAACUUGGAAACCGAAGGUGAGGCGCGGGAGAAGAAAGAGGAAGGAAAGUGAUGCGGGAAAAAAAAUGAGGGAACCCAAUAACUUUUUCAUAGUUAUACUAAAAAUUCCCGAAAGCCACAAACUUUUGCUGAUCAUAAUUUCCACAUACGAAGUCCGUUUUACACGUACCACAUGUCUACGAAUUCGUAUCGUCGUGCUCUACAACUUUCGUGAAGGAAGUUUCUCGAGAAACCCAACGGAUUAGAAAGUCAACUCUUGACCCUUCAAAACCGAAAAACCGUUUCGGGUAAUUGAUGCAUCCGAACACUUUUUUUCUUCUUUCGAACCUCAAAACACAAUAACUUCUAACUCGAAAAAUUCUUGAAUAAUAUUAGAAACUAAUAUCAAAUUUUCGGGGUAUUACAGUUACUAUAUAUUGUUUCUGCAUCACUGAUCGAGAACCCUAACAUUGCUCAAUCGAUCCCAAACUCCCUCUUCCUCCUCUUGCCCAACCCCUUCCUGCUGAUCGAAAUCCCAUAAUCCCACUUCGUAAAAGCUCAGCCACCUCCAAUCUCUAAGCAACUAAACCCGAUUAAAAUCCCAAAAUUUGUCCCCCAACUCUCUUCCAUGUAAAACCUAGAUCCCUUCCUCUUAUUCGAAAUCCCUAGCUCUCGGAAUCCCUAAUAAUAUCACCUCCACUUCCUCCACCGCUCACAAAAUCCAGCCACAUCUUCCUCUGACUACCUAGAUGCCAGCGCCGCUCGGGAAAAGGAAAGCUCGGGAGGAGGCAGAGGAGCGUUUGCGACUGGAGUGUGCGCAAUAAUAUGGCUCUUCUUUUGCAGGAUCCAACCAAGCCACUCCGACGACGGCGCCUCUAGGAUCCCUUGCUGAUUUGGCUCCCCUUCUAACCGACGAUGACGAGUCAACGACCUAAAUAGCAGAAACACCGUCUAAGGGUGCACCCAGGGUUUUCAGCGCUCACCGUAAACCUAAGAAAAGUGGAGGACCUCCCCAGAAAGGCAACCGUGGUGUGGUGAACAACGCAAAGGUGUCUGAUAUUGUAAAAAACACGGGGAAGAAGAUCAACUUGGACUUUGAUUGGGACGUUAUUGAUAGACCUCGUAAUUUUGAUGUAUGCAAUCUGUUUGUCAAUAGUAUUGGAAGCAUCAUACGAAAAAAGUGGCAAUGAAGAAGGAAUCGUGGUAUGAUUUAGACAAGUCGGAGAGGCAAAAGCUUUUUGACGGUCUCACUGUAAGUUAAGAUAACUUUCAGUUCUUUUUUUUGGUAUUUUGAUUCCAUGCAUCAUUGCAAUUUAAUUAUAACUUGUUUUUUAUGUCUUGCAAUGUUUUUUUAUCAUUGAUUUUAAUGAUAUAAAAUCGAUUAAAGGAAUCAAUAAAAGGGCGGCAAGUGUAUUCCGUAAAUAGAAGCAUGAUUUGUCCGAGAUUCACAAGCUCGGGGGGAGAGACGUGAUUCCGGAAGAGCUUUUGCACAGGAGGGAUGAGUGGGAGUGGUUUUGCACGUAUUUUGUUUCGGACAAGUACAAGGUAUAAAUUCAGUUUUGGUUAUGAGAUAGAAGGACAAGUACAAGGUAUAAAUUGAGUUUUGAUAUAAGAUUCUAGUUAUGAUUACGUGGUAUGAUUAAAUCUUAGUUUGAAUAAAUUGAGUUCUGGUUACUGCAUACAGUUGAGAAUUUUGAUUAAAAUUGGAUAUGAUUGUUAAGUUUUGGCCUUGUGUUUGUGGCAAUGAAGUUGGUACUUUGAUUGCUAAUUUAGUCUUAGUAGUAUAUAUGUAUAUAUAGGUAAUUUCAUAGUUCUAUGAUUGAACUUGGUUUGAUCAACUGAUAGGUGCAUUUUAUGCAACGUUCUUAAUGUAUUUCUGACCCUAUUUAGCUAUGUAAUUCCUUUAAAAAUAUUGAUUUUAACUUAAUUUUUGUUUUUAGGUUGCAAAUAAAGCCAAGGAGCACAAAAUAAGUAGAAGAGGAGAAAUCUUGAAGGAAAAGGAAUCCAUAUGGCACAAGGAAAGAAAUCAGAAAAUCUGCCAGGAAUAGUCAGUCAACUUCGACAGAGUAUUGUGAUCAGCUCACAGUGAUCCAGAAGAUGAACCUUAUAUCAACGGAAAGCUAGAAGAGUCUAGUUUCCAGAAAUCUUCGCGGAUCGUCAAUAGCUAUUUUAGAGAAGAAGUUAUGACCGUUUGAGUGGCCAAAUGUCAGUCUGCCCGAAUUUCUGAUUUGGACCGGAAUUUCAAUUUCAAGGCCCAGACCACAACGGCGAGCCCAUGGACGAAAAUUGAGGGUUCUCUAACCCUAAUAGCAGCUGUUCAUACGUUCCUUAUACAUAUGAGGAGUUGGAGACGUGAAAUGGGUCGCUCUUUGCGGCAGAAAAAUAACGUCCCUUUCAUCUCCUUCAAAAAUUCCUCUCCAAAACUCAAGCCCUAGUUUAGGACUUCUCUUGACGUUCCUUCUCCUUUGUAAUCCUCGGCGUAGUUCUUGUCUCAAUACCCAAAGUGUAAUCUAAAUUCAGACCUCAUGUUUUCUUUUACUAUCUAUUCAAUUACUUUAGUUUGUUUCCAUCUCUCUUGUUCGUUUGUGUUCAUGAGUUGGAUUUUUGAUUGAGUUUGUUCUUAUAAUAAUGUUAAUCAGAUAUGUAUAGUUGAGUUGUUGGUGUAAUUGAUGAUGCUUUUGAUGAUCUAAAUUGUGUUUAUGUGUGAUUGACAACUUAUGACUUGUACGUUCUCAAUCAAUAUGUGUCAUUGUUUGUGUUAAGUCCGCAUCGAUAAACAUGAACUAUAAUGGUAAGGAGUUAUAGGUUGCAUGCUAGGAUGUUUUUGAAGUCCGCGUCGGUGAAUUACAUUCUAACAUGUCCAAGUUCUUCCUCUGAUCUAUUUUAGAUGUGAAGUCCGCGUCAGUACAUAUCUAUGAGAAGUUAGAAGGGUUUUAAGUAGUUAAGUCCGUGUCAGUAAAUUACUUGAAAGAUGGAAUUUGAUUCGUUUCUCCAUAUGCAUGAUUUAGGUUGUUAGGGUUGAAAUUGCAUAGCGACUUGGUUAUAUGAAUCUGAUUUAGUGUUUUCUUGUGUGCAAAGAGACGAUCACAUGUAUAUAGUAGGUUAGGUUUUUGUUUCUUUUUAGUUUAUGAUUUUCGUCACUCUUCUGUUCCCUGUUUUCCUUUAUUUUAUUUUCAUACCAAAUGAUCUCCGAUCCCCCUAAAAAUCUAUACAGUAGUUCGUCAGUGUGUCUAGUAGGCCUCUGUAAAUUUUCAUAUUUUUCUGAGUAGUUUAGGUUAGGUUUUUAAUUAGGUUUUCGACUACUGUUCUAUGGAACAGUAGCUACUUUUGUAAAUUGUUUAAAGGGUUUAUUACUUAUCAAUAUUUGUUAUGUUUUACUAACGCUUUGUUUUGCAAGGUACUCUCAAUCCCCGGCCCUAUAUGAUACUCUUAUUUACCUUGUGCUACUAACGAUGAAAAAGAUUUAUUUGAUGCAGGGUUUGCACCCGUCAGCAACCAAGAUAGAAACUUGUGAGAGCUUGAGGAUCGGGUUUGAAAGGGAGUUAUUUUUACAUCCUGUUAUGAUUAUGUGGUAUGAUUAAAUAUUAGUUUGAAUAAAUUGAGUUUUGGUUACUGCAUAUAGUUGGGAAUUUUGAUUAAAAAUUGGAUAUGAUUGUUGAGUUUUGACCUUAUGUUUGUGGCAAUUGAGUUGAUUCUUUGACUGCUAAUUUAGUCUUAAUAGUAUACAAGUAUACAUAGGUAAUUUCAUAGUUCUAUGAUUGAACUUGGUUUGAGCAACCAAGAUAGAAACUUAUGAGAGCUUGAGGAUCAGAUUUUUAGGGAGUUAUUUUUACACCCUAUUUCAUCAUGUACUUGGUCUUGUGCAGAGACGAUCGGUUGCCAACUCCAGCAACCGUGGUAAGGAGUUGGAGCACCACUCAGGGAGGAAACCUAUCAUUUACCAGGUGGCUGAACUUAGGGUUAAGGGUGCUUCAUUACCGGUGGUUGACGUGUACCCGGUGACAUACGACAUCAACCAGCCUAAAGCUAUUGAGCAUUAUAUAAGUAUCAGUACCUAAUGCCUUAAGGAUAAUGGCUUAGUGUUUAAAUAUAAAUGGUUUUGAUUCAAUGACAAAUAAUAAUGGUUUGGGUUUUGGUGUAUUUGCUCUUUGCUAUUCAAAUUUAUAUGCCAUAUGCAUUUUCUGCUUUUCAUUUUCACAAAAUCAUUUGAGAAUCUGCAUUUUCAGAAAAUCUAAAUAGUCUUGUAGUAGUUUUGUGUAUUUGUGUUGUACUUAAUGUUGAAAGUAAUUCAAUGUUCAGUAGGAAAAAUUUUGAACUUUGAAUUGAUAGUUUUGGCUGCCUAAUUGUUGCUACUGUGUGUAUUGGCUAGUCGACAAUACGAUGUUUUGUUUCCUUGUUCUUCAGUGUACUAUGUUGCUUUGCAACAUUUGAGAUUCCAUUGCAUAUGAUCUACUUGUUAGAUAUUGGAAGUAGAGUCCUGAAGUUUAGUGUGUUUCCAACCUAAUGUUAAACUUUUAUUUCUGGAUGAGUGUUCUAUCAAUAAGGUUUAUCUAAAUACAUUAUACUAAGAGGUUCAUGCCAUUGAUUAUGUUUAUGUCUGCAUUUGUUUAGCUAGUUGUUAAUCAACUAAUCUUUCAACUUUACUCCAUAUCUUAUUUUGUACCUAGGACAUUUUCAAAACCCACUUCUCAGACAUUUAUUUAUAAAUGGUUUGUUGCAAAUUUACAACCUAUUAGUAUUCAAGAGUUAGUAUUGCAAGUUUUUGUGCGUUGGUAUUGCUAUUUGUUCUGUGUGCUUGCUUGUUCAAACCUAUAAUAUAAACCAAGCAGUUUUCAUGUUGUAUAUGGUAUAAAAGACUAUUUUAUCAUUAGUUUGAAUACUUUGAUUUCAAAUACAUAAAUUUAAGUGAUAUAUAUCCUGAACAUCUGAAUCUACAAAAAUUUCAAGUGGUUAUGCUUGCAUCUGAGUUUCAUAGAUUACAUUGGAUGUUGUUUCUGAGCUUAGCUAGCAGCCUCAUUGUAUCUUAGUUUCAUACAUCAUUUCCAGAAAUAUAUGUUAUCUUUUUCCAAGUAUAUUUAUAUGUUAUGGCUAUUAUAACAUAUAAGAUAAUAAUAGAAACAUAUGAGUCUGUUAAGAAAUUGCUUGUAUAACCUGUGCACAUGCAUUCUUGUGUGUGCAAGCACAUAUAUUAUUCGUAUGGGAUUUGGUUGAAAUUUCUCUACAUUUGUUGUUCUUUUCCAAUUCUACCUGCAAUAAGGGAUCAAUUUAAAGUUAUUCAUUUACUCUCAUGAUCCACCUGUCUUUGGUGGGUAAUUGGCUGCAGCAAGGCAGGAUUUUUGCUUACAAACAUGUAUAAAUCUCAUCAUGAUGAUAAGAAAGAUGACAUAUGAUUGUCCUUUGAUUUUCUUUCUUAUAAUGUGACCUUCUCAAUGUUGACGCUUGUAUAAUGUUAGUUUCAGUUGACUUGGUCAUUUUUACUGUUCGCUGCUCUUUGCCAUAAAUUUAACAUCAUAUCCAUUACUAUAUUCUUUCUCAAAUUACCUAGGACAUUUAUAAAACCCACUUCUCAGACAUUUGUUUAUAAAUGACUUGUUGCGAAUUUACAACCUAUUAGCAUUCAAGAGUUAGUAUUGCAAGUUUUUGUGUGUUGGUAUUGCUAUUUGUUCUGUGUGCUUGCAUGUUCAGACCUAUAAUACAAACCAAGCAGUUUUCGUGUUGUAUAUGGUAUAAAAGACUGUUUUAUCAUUAGUUUGAAUACUUGAUUUCAAAUACAUAAAUUUAAGUGAUCUAUAUUCUGAACAUCUAAAUUUACAUACAUUUAUAAAUGACUUGUUGCGAAUUUACAACCUAUAGGAGACGAGAAACUCUAAUAAGCUAGGUGAAACAUUAAAACCCCAGACAACAUUAAGAGUAAAGCAUGUGUCUUACCCCUCCUACUUGUAUGAGAAUAAACUUAGAAAUUUAGAUUUAGUUUGAUGGACCUUUUAUUACCUGGGAAGCAUAUUCCUUAAGACAGAUGGGAGAGUUUGGAUGUGUGCUAAAUUGAUGUGUUCUUCAGUAAUUUAGGUACCUUACCUUGCUCGCCUAUUUGAAAAAGUGGGUAUCAACUUUGACGGCCAUAAUCCAAAUACCAUUUGUUGUGUUAACCUUUUCAAUUCAUGUUUGGUUUGAGCUGCUGUGUUCUGUUUUUUGAAUCUCUCUGUCAUGAUUACUUAAGGCUUUGUGUUAAUGUUGGUAUAUAUGACUAAAUACUGUGUUUUGUUAUGAGUUGAACUUGUAUGUAUAUUUUCGUAUUGAUUGAGAACGAUCUCUGAAUUACUCCACAAGUGAACUUUGAAUUGAUAGUUUUGGCUACUGUGUGUAUUGUCUAGUUGUUUGAUUUGUGAAGUGAGCUACUUAGGGGUGGGCAUGGGACGGGAUAGGAUGGGAUAUAGCUAAUCCCACGGCCCGUCCCGGAUAUUGAAAUUGGGACGGGAUAGGACAGGCUUUGCGUUUUUUAGAUUUCAUCUGACCCGGGCCCUAUCCCGGUCGGGAUUGGACGGGUCCAGUCCCGGAUAAAAAAAGUUGAAAAUAAACUUGUAAGCAAAAGAAAAGGUUUCAUAGUUUUAUAGUGCUUUUUACUCUAUUAAGUAUAAACAAGUACUUGUAACAUAUUUACAAGUACAACACGGUGUAAUAAAAGAGUUUAUAUUUCUUACUUUCUCUAAACUUAUCAUCACUACUAUUGUGCAAGAAGAGAGUCUACAACAAUCAACAAAUUAAAGUAUUAAACAUCAUUGUUAUUGAAUUGGAGACAACCUAGUAACUUAAAGAAAUAAAGAGCUAAGAUUAAAACACUUAAAUGAAAGGUUCAAAUCACAUAUUAAUUAAUAAAAAAUCAAUCAUUAAAAUAGUCGGGACAUGACAGACCUAAACGGGACUUGAAUUAUCCGUCCCACGUUCCGUCCCGUUGUCUAAGGAUGAGACAAGACGGGACGGGACGGGACGGGCCUGACAUUUUGAGAUUUAAAUCCCGUCCCGUCCCGACAAAUUUCGGGACGGGUUCGGGAUUACGAGAUUUUAUGCCCACCCCUAGAGCUACUGCAUGUGUAUAUUGUCUAUGGUGUAUAAUAUUGAAAAUAACAAGAUUGUUAGCAUGCAUUUGGUAUCUCAACAUUAUAAUUUGAGUUGUAUAUAUUAUUUUAUAAUUGUAGGAAAAGUUGACGAAACAGGCUGCUAUUGCCAAGAUUUUAUUGAGCACUCAACACCCGGACAUCCCACCGGAUCAGCUACCUCUUUUGGACUGGCUAACUCAACUAAAUGUUGUGAAAAACGCUAUGGGAGAGAAAAAAAAGGGUCUUACCUUCGUGGUAUUGGACAAGCAGGCGUCCUAGAGAAGAGCAAAAUGUCAACAUCUUCCCUUUCACUCUCUCGACUGACUAAUGAGGCAAUGACAUCGAUAGAGGUUGCUAGAAAGGAGGCGGCUGAGGCACAAGAGAGGGCCCAAAAAGCCGAGAAGAUCGUUGAGCAGUCUGCUGCAGAUUAUCAAGUUUUGAAGUUGAAAAUGGAUCAAAUCAUGGCUCGAAUAGGGCUACAACCUAUGUGUUCACCCUCGGUCCCAAGCCAACAACCUCGAGACAACGAUGAUGAUAGGGGCCUUGACACUUCUCCGAUUAGUUUAGAAAAUCAAUAGAUUUUUCUAGUUUAAAUAAUUGUACAAACAAUACUACCUAGUAUUUCUUUUGGUCGGUACGAUAACUUUAUUAGUAAUAUAAACAUUUCCGUUAAUUUAUUUUGAUUUUACAGUAAUUAAUUAUUUACUUACAGUAAUAUAUUUUUGAGUUAUUAUAUCUCUUAAUAAUAAAAAUAAUAUAUAUUUUUUUUUCAAAAAACUAAAACCUAAAAGACGAAAAUUUUGUCUUCUAAGAUGCUUAUUUUUGUUGCUUAAGGGUAAAACUUACGCGUAAAAAUUAACAGGCCAAAAUAGUGUUCUGUCGCAUAAGGCUAUAGCGACGGAAAAUUUUGUCACAUUAAAUCUAGUGUCAAAAACAAACUCGUCUCUAAACUAAAAAGUUUUGUCGCUUAACAACAAACCGACCGGAGAACAUACGUCGCUGAACAAUUUAAGCGACGACAACAAUUCGUCGCUUAAGUUAAUUAUUCGUCUCAUUAAACCUAGCGAUGAAAACAAACUUGUUGCUAAACAAAAAAAUUUCGUCGCUUAACAAUAAAACGACAGGAGAACAUACAUCGCUGAACAACUUAAGCGACGAAAACAAUUCGUCGCUUAAGUUAAUUAUUCGUCGCCUAGGUCUGUGGCGACAUAAACAAUCCCCGUCACUUGUUCCGUUUUCUUAAGCCACGGAUAAUAUGUUUUUGUCACCUAAGUGCCUAUGAGAUGCUUCAUAUACGACGAAUUUUAAGCGACGCCGAUUUCGUCGCUUAAGUCUUAUGGCGAUAAAAAUGGGCACUUAGCCGACGAUUUUUUCCUCUCGCUUAAGCCUUUAUUUCGACUAGUGAUCAUAGACAAGCAGUAGAUAAAGAUUGGCAACUUAGAACAUGAGCCAUACUUCUGUCCCCUUUGGAUUGCUAUGAAACAAUAAGUAGAACAGGUGACUAACAAGGUGAUAUAACUAGAAAAUAGAUUCACCAGUUUGAGAAAUGUGUAAUAGCAUGGGAGAUGAUAUUGAUUACUGACCAGAAUCAUAGACAAUCAGGAGUAGAUAAAGAUUGGCAUCUUCACACAUGAAAUAGAAUGUAGUACAAGUGACUAACAAAGUGAUAUAACUAGAAAAUAGAUUAACGGUUGCACAUUCCUAUAAAGAAAACAAAUUUAUAAUUAUGAUUUAAGUGCAUUUUCAUUUGAAGUGUUAGGCAUAUAUAUACAUCAGUAGUCGAGAAUAUUAAAUUGAUUUUUUUUUUCAUUAGCAAUACAGGGAGAAUCUUAAGAAACUGUACUACCACCCAUCCUAGCUAGAAGAAGAAGAAAUUAGGUUGAUGAUUUACAAGGCUUAUAAUCAGAUCGCACAGAGAGCAAAAAUAGACCCAGACAUAUGGUGGAAAGUUACGCAGAGGCUAGGGAAUCUAAGCACAUAAAGAGAAGAACAAUUCUACAAACAAGUUUGCAAAGACUAUCCAGGGAAGUACUUCAAUAAUGGCCAAGGUUUUGUCUAUUAUUAUAAGGACUGCUUGAGCACUUAAAUGAAAAAAUUGAACGACACAAUGCACAAGUAACUACCAUAAACGAAAAAGACAAAGAAGAAGCUGCAGAAAAAGCUAGGGUAGAUGCUAAAGCACAAAGGAUUGAAGACAUGAAGAUUAUAGAAGAAAUGGCUGCUCUAAAUAUAAAGGGGCGGCAAAUUGAGGACAUUGAACCUAGACGCUCAUUGGGUAAAAUGGAAUGGAGAGCUUGUUCUCGGGAAUCGUACUCAAACUCUAUAUCUUAAUGGUAGAAGAGAACAUAUAGUUCAACAUAGAUGGAGAGGAGCUGGGAAUACCAAUGCAAGUAAAUCCAACCCCCGUGCCAAUGACAAUGGAUGCCUACUACAUGGCACAGAUGAUGAUGUACGCCAAGAACGAGCCACAAAUGAUGAUGCAUGUCUUCUAUGGGCCACAAAUGGCAACGAAUCCUAACUUAGCGCAACAGAAGCAAGCUUACUUGGCGCACCAGAAGCAGCAGGCUUACUUGGCGCACCAGCAGCAGUAGCAGUCUUACUUGGCGCACCAGCAUCAGCAAAGGGCUUACUUAGCGCACCAGUAGCAAGCUUACUCGGCACACGAGCACCAAUAACACGUUUAUUCGGUGCACCAGCACUAGCAGUAGGCAUACUUGGCACACCAGAACCAGCAACAGGUUUACAUGGCGCACCAGCACCAGCACCAGCAGCCGUUCUUGGCACAGCGGGUGUAAGUGUGUCUCCUAAGAGGCUAAGAAUAUCAAUGCAUCUAUUAUUCAACAUCGACCUAUUAUUGGUUUUGUUUUACAAGAUCAUUUUGGAAAUCUCCCAUAUUGCAACUGCAAUGAAGAAGAAGCUCGAAGAUACGAGUGUUGUUGUCGCUGAAGCCACUGCUUUACGUGAAGGUCUUCAUACCACGUUUCUUCAACAAAUUUCAGAAGUUUUUGUCAAGGGUGACUCAAAAUUAAGUAGCUUGACUUGAAAAAGGUCUCACUCUCUUGGAGAGAAGUUUUGAAAGAAAGCUAUCUCUUUAACCUAAGAGAGAUUCUGGAAAGAUCAACGUUACGAUAUGAACUCUAAUUAAAGAAGAAUCUUUCUAAAUCACUUCGGGUCAGCAAGCCGUUCAAAGGAUCAAAAAAACACCAGGGUUGUAAAUGAUAUAGCGUUCCUGAUGACUCGGUAAACAUCUUUCAUUUAUGAAUUAGUUUUCUAUUUCUUAAUUAACUUUUACACAACAAAAAUGAAUUUACAUGAACCACGGUGGUCAAAUUGGUAAGAGCCUUGGUGUGGAACCCCUAUACCUAGGUUCGAAUCUUGCUGACGUUAAUAGGAGUUAAAUCCCAAUUUAUUCUUGGUGACAAGUGAGAGGAAGCGGUCUGACAUGAUCUCUCGACGCGGAUUAGUCUUCCAAAAAUCAUUUGAAAAUCCCGUUGAUACUUAAAAAAAAAAAAUUUACAUGGAAAAUAAACUAAAAUAAAAAUUUAAAAGCCUUAUCCAGAUGGCUGGUCUCUUAAAGUGAUGAACUUUGUGUAAACAUCUGAGUAUUUGUAUACAUCAACAAUCUAACUUCAUGAUGUAACCUUUCGAAAGUUAAGUUAAUCACUAAAGAUUAUCUCUACAAAAUGCAUUAUGAAACAAAAUCGUUUUUUUAGUUGGUAUUAUUAAACAAAUGGGCCAUUGAUUAUGAGAUUACUAACUUUCACAACAACCGUUCAUUUGUUUGAUACAAUUGAAUGAGUAGAUGUUUUUGAUUUGCAUCCAUUUUCUGCAAAAAAAAAAAAAAAGAAUCUUGAAUGGUUGUUUUAAUGUUUGAACAAAUUUAAAAACAAAAAACAUAAACAAUUAAAUGACUAUUUCAUCGUCUAUUCUCGAAAUCAUGUAUUUUCAUUUCCAGAAGUAUGUAAUUAGAAAGUGCUCGGUCGCAAUUAAUUUUUCUUAUCUACAUCCUGAUAGAGAUAAGUGGUGACAUGAGUUGUAUCCCUUAUAUUUUUUUUCUCAUAAACUACUAAACUACUUCAGUAGCUAAACAUUAUCACAUCUAUUACAUGAUGAUAAUUCAUUCGUUAUCAAUUUUAUUAGAGUUGGCGUUGGGAAAUUUUCAUAUGGUACUAUUUUCUUCUAUUUCGAAUGUCAUACUAAGUUGUGAGGUGAUUUCAUCAGUGUGGUUAUGAAAAUUAUGAUGAAAAAAAAAAAAAUCAAGUGUACCAAUCAUACCAGUUGGAUGUUGUCUGUGGAUUGAAAAUGAGUGAAAGUUCCAUGGGCAUAGAAAAAUCUAGGUAUAUAUGAUUGGUUGGGCUAAUAUAUGCGUAUGUCACAUCCAUUUAACUUGUUUUAAUCUAUAUCGUGAACAUCUCAUUUUAAUUGAGAACGUGUUUUAGCUGGAAUUGCUUGAUUUGGUUAAGUUCAACAUUUAGCUUACAAAAGUGAAUUAUUUAAGCAAGCUUUGGCUUUGUUAUGUCGGUGAGCCGUACUUUGGUUGGUUAAAGAGUUUAACUGACAGCUUUGAGGUCAUGGGUUCAAACCCUCAUUGACAUAUAUAGGUGAGUGAGUUAUUAAUAAAAAAGUUUUAUUUUAUUUUAUUUUAUUUUUUAAAAGGCCUUGGCUUUGUUAACCAUUUAAAUUAUGAAAAUAACUUCUAAAAGAUAAACGAAUGGUCAACCUUACAUAGAGGUUAUGGUCAUCCAUCUGUUUGUACCUAUUUUUUACAUGUCGACCUACUACGCCGAAGUAGUUGGUUGCGAAGAAGCCAACAACAUUUAAUGAUAAUUAUGGCAAUUAUUUCGUAUAAUUAUCAUCAACAUUAAUGAGAUUUGCCGAGAUUCAUUAUUUGGUAUUAACACAAAUACAUACCAAAUAUUGAAGAAGCCAACAACAUUUAAUGAUAAUUAUGGCAAUUAUUUCGUAUAAUUAUCAUCAACAUUAAUGAGAUUUGCCGAGAUUCAUUAUUUGGUAUUAAAACAAAUACAUACCAAAUAUUGAAGCAACGGCGAUAUAUGGCAACAAAAUAACAUUUACGGCUAAUUAGAAGCAUUGAAGAACGAUAUUUCAAGAUAAUUAGUGCAAUUCCAACGAAGCCGCAAGAGGAAACAAAUAACGGCGAUAAUUAUUGCCGAGAUUUAAGUGAAUUUGAAGGCAUUAAAGAUGAUAUUGCACAAUUGAGAGCAAAUUGAUUCUAACGGUGCUUCAAAAAAGAAAGUAAAUAUGGAGUGAUUAAGAAAAUAAGUGGAGCAUAUCUUUAUUCCGGUCAUUAAGACCGAAAUUCAAAAAAUAUUUGAUUGUAUUAUAUUUCCUUAAUUGGGUGUACGUACUUGUAUAUAUUCGACCCCCAAGCUCAUUGUAAAUGGUCCCCGACCAACACACACAACUCAAUACAAUCUCAAACACUUCAAAUUCUCUACGAAUUCUCUACAAUAUCAAUCUUUUUAUCCAUGUUCUAGCAUAGUUUUUUUCUUCUUUUUAUUCGUUUUCUUUACAUUCCGCACUUUAUCGCUUUCUUUAUAUUCCAUACUUUACUUUCAUGCAAUGUCUCUUCUGCGUCUUUAAAUUCAUGCACUUUAAUUUAUCGCAAUUACUUCAUGCAAUUUACGUUUCAUGCAAUUUCAAUUUUCGCCUUUAGAUUUUUGUUCAUUUACUUUUCGUACUUUAAUUCUCGCAAACUUAUACAAAAAUCACAAAAAAAGAGGAGCAACAUCGGUGAAAACGCCGAAAGUCCUUGCAACAAAGGCAAGAGAACCCAAAGGCCGAGACGGUUCCUUCCUCAGUUAAGAUCCGUCGCCUAAGUGUGGUGAGGUAGACACUUGGGCGUCGAAACCUAAAAUUCCGUCGCCUAAGUGGUUCUUAGGUUAGGCGACGGAUUUUAUUUUACAGUUAAAAAAAAAUUAUCCACUUAGGAGACGGAAUAGUUGAAUUCCGUCGCUAAAGGUUGAAAAAAAAAAUUUUAAAAAUAAAUAAAAAAACCACCGCAGGUUUUUUAUCCACUCACUCUGACCGCCUCAAAUACCACCACCACCGCAGGUUUCAGAAGUCACAACUAAAUGUCUUGAACUUCUUCUCAUUCUGCAUAUAAGUAGUAAAAACUUGCAUUUAUAAAUUGCAUAUGGAAAAAAUAAAAUUUACUGCCCCCCAGUAAACUUCUACUGGGGAUCAGUAAACUUGUAAAAAAUAACUCUCUUUCUAUUUCAGGGGCACAACACACAACAUAUAUCAAUUCUUACCUUAAUAAACAACUUUAUUGGCCCCUAAUGAACCCAGUAGAAGUUUACUGCCCCCAGUAAACUUCUAAUGGGGGUUAGUAAAAUUCAAUACAGUAUCUCCUUUUCAAUUUCAUGUCAAUUAUACAUAACAGAUACCAAUUCUUACCCUAAAAAACAAAUUCAUUGCCCCCUAGUAAAUCCAGUGGAAGUUUACUGCCCCCAGUAAACUUUUAUAGGGGGUCAGUAAACUUCAAUACAAUCUUCCUUUCAAUUUCAUGCUAACAAUCUGCCUCAAAUAUACCACAUGUUACACCCAAAUUUUCGAAAGGAAAUUUUCAAAAAUUUUGGCAUAAUAUCUCUUAAAAUAAUAUAAUCCCAAAGCAUGUUUCAACAAAAUUUCAAUGAAACUAAACUCAAUGCGGAAAGUAAAAUUUACACACAACUCCAUAUUGAGUUAAAUAUUACAUUUCCUUGUUUACAUAAACUCGAGAGUCAAGAAAAUGAGACGCUCACAUGAGUUUAAUAUUGUCUAUCCCAAUGUAUAUAUAAAAAUAAGUAUAUACAAUGAACAACCAAACCCAACAAAAAAAAACCCUGCCACUAAGCCUCCACCUUAACCCUGCUGAUCCUCACCUGCAGGUCUAACCCCUACACUAAGAAUUGGUGUACCGGGUUGUAAACAACAAACCUGGUAAGCUAAAAAGCUCGUAUGAGUAAACUAAAAAAUAACACAACAUUUAUCACAUCCAAUAUUCCACAAGAGAGAUUGGAUCCAUAAUUAAAGAAAAACACACAUCCAACACAUUACCUAAGAAAAGUACUCAUGAGUCCCAGAUAUUUAAUAAAAUACCCCUCAUGACCUACAACAACACUAUGUGUACCCAUGGGUCCCAGAUACCAUACAGUAUCUCCCAUGACCUACACUGACAGACGGACUAGAGCUUUAUUCCUAACCGUAACCAAUCACCCGGCCAAAGGCUUGGAACCCGGUUUGACUGUCUAAUAUCAAACACAAAAAUAAUAAAUAGCAUCUUAACUACAACCAAUCACCUAAUUAAAGGCUUGGAACCCGGUUUGACUAUUUAUCCAAAAAUCAGAAUAUCACAACAUUAACCUCAACAACACAAUAUCACAUCAUUAUUCUCAACAACACAAUAUCACAUUAUUAUUCUCAACAACACAAUAUCACAUUAUUAUUCUCAACAACAUAAUAUCACAUAAUUAAUUCUAUCCUCUCACAUGGAAAUAUUUACAUGACCAAAAUAUAGAUAUUCCACAAGAAUAAUCUAUAAAUAAUCAAUAAAAUCAUGAUUACAUGAAUCUCAAAAUAGCACAUAAAGAAAACUUGUUUUACCUUAUCUUUGAGCCGUUGGCGAUCAAGCUCAUAUAUUUUUAAAAGCAAUUAAAGACAUAAUAUUAAAACCAACAUCAUCAUCAUUAUCAUCAUCACAUGACCAUAAUUAAAUUUGGUUCAAAAGUGAACCUUGGUGAGAUUUACUCACCUAGAAAUCCUGUUGCAAAACCCCCAACACAACUAAGGCAAGCCAAUCACAAAAUCACCUAAAAUCACACAAUUAAAAACCUUAGAAACCAAGGUAUUAAAGGAUAACACAAUACCCUUAAACUAACCCUUAGCUCAAGGGAGGACAACUUCCCAAAGUCGUUGAACUCAAAGACACAAUAGAGCUGCCUCAACUCUUCAAAAUCUAAACUCUAACCCAACCAAACCAACACCAAUAAACUUAAGUCUUAGCAUGCCAACAUUUCUUAAAGACUAGCCACACUACCACUCAACAAGCUCACAACAGUAAGGACUAGCUAACCAUAGGAAACUAGGGCUGCACCUCAGCCGGACGCGCUGCCACGCGCAGCCACAAGCGACGGCGAGUGGGCCCCACGCGCCACCCCAAACUUCUGAAUUUGAGAAAACUCCCAACAGCAAAGUUGAAGCUUGAAGCAAGGGGAACAACUUUCAUACCUGAGACUUCGACUAAUUUUGGCCGAAACCAGCCGGAAACCGCCACGAACCGUGACUAGAAAAUCAACUACAAAACCUGCAAAAUCGGCCUCAAAACCUCAAAAACUUGCUUCAAUCUAUGCCUAGACACUACUAGGAGGAGGAGGAGAUCAAGACUCACCUAAGGACGCCCUUCGUCGCCGCCGUAUACGGCGGUUCCGACCGGUGGCACAUCAGCCUUCUUUCCAGCAACACAGCUCCGGUUCUGGCGUGCCACACCGAGCAGCAGCUGCCCAGCCUUGAAGAGAGCACUUGUGGGAGUCGAACGGGACCGGUGGCGUCCGGUUUGGUGGCCGGAUGAGGGAGAACUCGGCCGGAGAAAGUAAGAGUUCGGGGGGAGCUCGGGAGAGGAAGAGAGAGAAGAGAGAAAAGAGAGGGAAGAGAGAAAAUAGAGGCUGACUUUGUUUUUAGGGUUCCCAAAUACAUCCCACACACAUUUUUCUACUUAUACUCUUUUCAAACCCGGAAACAAACUUCCUCUGAACAUAACUUCUUCAUACGACAUCCGUUUCAGGCGUGCCACAUGUCUAUGAACUUGUAUUGACAAACUCUACAACUUUCAUGAAGGAAGUUUUCGAAGAUAACUUACGAAAAAUAAAGUCAACUUUUGGCCUCUUAAAAGUCAAAGCACUUUAAAAUAACCUCCUGAAACUUCAACUUCGCAUAAAUCACAGAAUUUCCAUAAAUGAUCCUUCAUUAAAUAAAAGAAUAAUACAAGGAAAAUUGAUAUGAAAAUCUAGGAUAUUACACCACCGCCACCACCACCACCGUAUCAAAUAACCGCCAUGCCACCAUCGUCAUACCAAUCACAUCCUAACCAAAAUUAAAAUCAAAAUCAAAUUAAACAAAAACACAUAAAUCUAUCACCAAAGCUAAUUAAACUAGAAAAAUUGAAGAACUUACCUUGAUUUCUUACCCUUUUGAAAUUUCGAGGGACGGUGGUGGGUUGGUGGAAAGGCUUGGUAGAGAGAGAAAGGUGGCGGUAGCAGCGUCUGUGGUGACCCAGAUCUGAGGCUUGGUGCAAGAGAAGGGGACGAGGAGCUUGCUGGCGACGGACGGGUGAGUCAGGUCGGGUCGAGAGGGAGAGGUUGUUGGCUCCGAGGAGGGUGCGAAGGUGGGCGGGUGAUGUUGAAGAGGGUCUUGACAGCAUUAAGAGUGGUGGCGUUUAUGGGGACAAAGUCGAUGAGCGCGUGGCNNNNN
rnacentral:lncRNA from 1 species